GACGAACGCUGGCGGCGUGCUUAACACAUGCAAGUCGAACGGAAAGGCCCUGCUUUUGUGGGGUGCUCGAGUGGCGAACGGGUGAGUAACACGUGAGUAACCUGCCCUUGACUUUGGGAUAACUUCAGGAAACUGGGGCUAAUACCGGAUAGGAGCUCCUGCUGCAUGGUGGGGGUUGGAAAGUUUCGGCGGUUGGGGAUGGACUCGCGGCUUAUCAGCUUGUUGGUGGGGUAGUGGCUUACCAAGGCUUUGACGGGUAGCCGGCCUGAGAGGGUGACCGGCCAAAUGGGGACUGAGAUACGGCCCAGACUCCUACGGGAGGCAGCAGUGGGGAAUAUUGCACAAUGGGCGGAAGCCUGAUGCAGCAACGCCGCGUGCGGGAUGACGGCCUUCGGGUUGUAAACCGCUUUCGCCUGUGACGAGCGUGAGUGACGGUAAUGGGUAAAGAAGCACCGGCUAACUACGUG
rnacentral:rRNA from 1 species